AGAGUUUGAUCAUGGCUCAGAAUCAACGCUGGCGGCGUGCCUAACACAUGCAAGUCGAACGCGACUUGGGCUUCGGCCUAAGUUGAGUGGCGAACGGGUGAGUAACACGUGGGUGACCUACCUUCGAGUGGGGGAUAACGUCCCGAAAGGGACGCUAAUACCGCAUAACAUCCUGCCUUUGAACAGGUGGAGAUCAAAGCCGGGGAUCGCAAGACCUGGCGCUUGAUGAGGGGCCCGCGCCUGAUUAGCUAGUUGGUGGGGUAAUGGCUCACCAAGGCGACGAUCAGUAUCCGGCCUGAGAGGGCGGACGGACACACUGGGACUGAGACACGGCCCAGACUCCUACGGGAGGCAGCAGUGGGGAAUUGUUCGCAAUGGGCGCAAGCCUGACGACGCAACGCCGCGUGGAGGAUGAAGGUCUUCGGAUUGUAAACUCCUGUUGCUCGGGACGAAAAGCUCCGACCUAACACGUCGGAGUCUGACGGUACCGAGUGAGGAAGCCCCGGCUAACUCUGUGCCAGCAGCCGCGGUAAUAC
rnacentral:rRNA from 1 species